GAAAUGGCAGAUCAUAAUGUAAGUUUGCUAAUUAAGCUACACUGAGGUGAGUCCCCACAGAGCCACAGCUCCUGAGCCUCACCGGGACACACACACGUGGACACAGGUGAAGACCUCCUCCAAAGCCAGCGGGUGGUGCUCGGGCACCCCUCUACCAGCAUGUUAGUGCUGAGGCCCUGGCCUCGGUAGUGCCCUCGGGCUGUGGGACCGUCUUCCUAUUGCUGUGAUGCCUCAUAAUCCCAAAAGAAUGCCUGGAUUUGAAGGUCUUUCUAAGAAAUGGAACUUACGGAUCACAAGCGUCAAGGAAGGGAAAAUAUCAUGCCAACAACAACCAGGGCAAGAGGAAGCCAAUGCUGAGGUGCCUGAAAUGACCAGCAGAUGACCACUCCACUUGUUACAAAAGGUCAGUGUUUAUAGAAGUCUAUGAUA